UACGUAGGGUGCGAGCGUUGUCCGGAAUUAUUGGGCGUAAAGAGCCUGUAGGCGGUUUGUCGCGUCUGCUGUGAAAAUCCGGGGCUCAACCCCGGACUUGCAGUGGGUACGGGCAGACUAGAGUGUGGUAGGGGAGACUGGAAUUCCUGGUGUAGCGGUGAAAUGCGCAGAUAUCAGGAGGAACAUCGAUGGCGAAGGCAGGUCUCUGGGCCACUACUGACGCUGAGAAGCGAAAGCAUGGGGAGCGAACAGG
rnacentral:rRNA from 1 species